UCUAAUCUAUUUACCAUCCACGUUUUCUAAUGUGCCUCCCUCACCCUGCCCAAGCUGAAUGCAAUACCCUGGAUGUGGCCUGAAUAUGGAAGAAUGCAGUUGAGUUAUCGACUCCCUCUUUUUGAACACUAUGGAGCUAUGCUGGUGACUGACACCUUGCAGUUUGGGGCUGGUUCGUGCGCAGCUGCCUUUUGGGGAGAAGAGUUUGCUGCACAUGCAUGUUUUCUGGGUGGGGGGAAGGUUUUUCCUGCUAAGGCUGAGAAGGUGCACUUUUCUGCUCUUUUUAUUAAAACAGCUGGAGAAAGAAGGUCUCGUUCCACUCCACUCUAGAAUAUGGAGGUGUGAUAAAGGUUUCUGCUAAGGAUCAUGACCACAAAGUGCAAAGAGUUUGAGACAAAGACAAAGGUUUCCAUCCCAGGGCAGCACUAUAAAUAUCCAUGGGGGAGUGUGCUACUUGACUCCCUAGUAACCCCUACUGCUUUCCUCUUGGAGGCUGGGCAGAGGGAAAGGGAACUUCAGUCUCAAGGCAUAAGUUGGAAGCACUAAAUAUAUCCAAGUGGCGAACUGACUGGUAAAGGGCCAAACUCGGACUUUAUAGAACAUGGCUCUGGAUGGGUAUAUCUUAUUCAAAUAAAAAAAGGUAAAAGGCAGGGUGAGGUGGCAUUGUUCACUAAGAAGCUAUACUUACAACUCUGAGGAAAUCCAGAAUCCAAGCAUAGAAGUAUGAUGGAAAGCAUUUGGGUGAAGAUCAAUGGAUGGUUAACCCAUUCCUCUUCUGAAUUUCCCUAUUUCUGUUCAGGCCAAAUUUUGGCUUGAUAUUAGGGAAAACCUCCCAACAAGGAGAGCUAUCUGAAAGUAGAAUGGGCUACCUCAGGAGUUCUUCAAGAAGAGGACUAGAUGACCAUUUAUUAGGUAUAUUAUA